CCUACGGGAGGCAGCAGUGGGGAAUAUUGCACAAUGGGCGAAAGCCUGAUGCAGCAACGCCGCGUGAGCGAUGAAGGCCUUCGGGUCGUAAAGCUCUGUCCUCAAGGAAGAUAAUGACGGUACUUGAGGAAGAAGCCCCGGCUAACUACGUGCCAGCAGCCGCGGUAAUACGUAGGGGGCUAGCGUUAUCCGGAAUUACUGGGCGUAAGGGGUGCGUAGGUGGUUUCAUAAGUCAGAGGUGAAAGGCUACGGCUAAACCGUAGUAAGCCUUUGAAACUGGGAAACUUGAGUGCAGGAGAGGUAAGUGGAAUUCCUAGUGUAGCGGUGAAAUGCGUAGAUAUUAGGAGGAACACCAGUGGCGAAGGCGGCUCACUGGACUGUAACUGACACUGAGGCACGAAAGCGUGGGGAGCAAACAGGAUUAGAUACCCGGGUAGUC
rnacentral:rRNA from 1 species